rnacentral:rRNA from 2 species
AAGGAUCAUUAUAGUAGCCCCUCUCGGGGUCUUCUCUGCGCUUCGACUGUGCGUCUCUCGCACGUCGCUAGCAAAGUGAUUCUCACACCUGUGCACCUUUCAGGCGCUUCGGCGCCUGCUUUUACACGCAUCAGUCUUUGAAUGUAAACUGUUAUUCGUAACACAUAUACAACUUUCAACAACGGAUCUCUUGGCUCUCGCAUCGAUGAAGAACGCAGCGAAAUGCGAUAAGUAAUGUGAAUUGCAGAAUUCAGUGAAUCAUCGAAUCUUUGAACGCACCUUGCGCUCCCUGGUAUUCCGGGGAGCAUGCCUGUUUGAGUGUCACGUGAAUACUUCAUCCCCUUGACGUCAAGUCUUGGGUGAUGGUCUUGGACUGUGCCGGUGGUAUGCCGUCGGCUCGUCUUGAAAUGCAUUAGCUCGUCUGUUAAGUGAGACGGCAAACGGUGUGAUAGUCUAUCUACGCCUAUUAGCCUUUCUCCAAGUCGGUCGGGCUCACAAACCGUCGAAAGACAAACUUCAUUUUAACGCUCUGGCCUCAAAUCAGGUAGGACUACCCGCUGAACUUAA